UACGUAGGGGGCAAGCGUUGUCCGGAUUUACUGGGCGUAAAGAGCGCGCAGGCGGUCGUUCAAGUCGAGUGUGAAAGCCCCCGGCUCAACUGGGGAGGGUCAUUCGAUACUGAUCGACUCGAAGGCAGGAGAGGGUAGUGGAAUUCCCGGUGUAGUGGUGAAAUGCGUAGAGAUUUGGAGGAACACCAGUGGCGAAGGCGACUGUCUGGUCUGUAACUGACACUGAGGCGCGAAAGCGUGGGGAGCAAACAGG
rnacentral:rRNA from 1 species